rnacentral:rRNA from 1 species
UACGUAGGGGGCAAGCGUUGUCCGGAAUCAUUGGGCGUAAAGCGCGUGUAGGCGGUCCGGUAAGUCGGUUGUGAAAGUCCAGGGCUCAACCCUGGGAUGCCGAUCGAUACUGCCGGACUAGAGUCCGGAAGAGGCGAGUGGAAUUCCCGGUGUAGCGGUGAAAUGCGCAGAUAUCGGGAGGAACACCAAUGGCGAAGGCGGCUCACUGGUCCGGUACUGACGCUGAGGUGCGAAAGCGUGGGGAGCAAACAGG